rnacentral:rRNA from 1 species
UCAAAAACAUAGCUUAAAGAAUAUAUUUUAAGUAAAUUCUGCCCAGCGUAAAUUUAAUUAGCGGCCGCAGUACCUUGACUGUGCUAAGGUAGCAUAAUCAAUUGGCUUUUAAUUGAAGUCUGGAAUGAAAGGAAAAAUAAAGAAUUAACUGUCUCUUUUUAAUUUAUGUGAAUUUAUUUAUUAAGUGAAAAUACUUAAAUUUAGAAAAAAGACGAGAAGACCCUUAGAAUUUUUAUUAAUAUUAUUUUUUGUAUUUAUAUUUUUGUUGGGGCGACAAUGAAACAUAUUUAACUUUUAAGUUUUUCAAGACAUUAAUUUUUGUACGGUUAAAUUACCUUAGGGAUAACAGCAUAAUAAUUUAUAUAGCUUAUGACCUCGAUGUUGGACUAGGAACUAAAAGACUAACCGUCAAAAUAGAUUGUUCUGU